rnacentral:lncRNA from 10 species
CCCACUGCAGCCUUGAACUCCUGGGCUCAAGCUAUCCUCUUGCCUCAGCCUCCUGCUUAGCUGGAGCUACAGGCAUACACCACCGCACCCAACUAUUUUAAUUUAUGUAGAGACGGGGUCUUGCUUUGUUGCCCAGGCUGGUCUGAACUCUUGGGCUCAGAGAAUCCUCCUGCCUUGGCUUCCCAAAGUGCUGGGAUUAUAGGUGUGAGUCACCUCACUAGGCCAGGACCGGGCAUCUAGAUAUAGGGUGUGGUGGGCUGUUUGUAAAGGACGUGAAUGGGGACGGACGUGGGUGGGAUUGGCCCAGGCCAUACUCGGUAGGACAUGGAUGGGAUUGGCCCAGGCCAUACUCGGUAGGAGAUGGCGGCAUUUGAAGGAAAAGAAGGGCGAGGCUGAAGAGCGGCCUGGAUUAGGAAACAGUUUGUCCCAGAGUUCUGAGAAAGAACCUUCCUCUCCUGGUUCCGCAAUGGCCUCCUGGCAUCGGGCAUCGGGGUCAUCUCCUUCAUGCAGAGUGACAUGGGUCGGGAAGCAGCAUAUGGCUUCUUCCUGCUGGGCGGCCUGUGCGUGGUGUGGGGCAGCGCCUCGUACGCCGUGGGCCUGGCGGCGCUGCGAGGACCCAUGCAGCUGACGCUGGGGGGCGCGGCCGUGGGCGCGGGCGCCGUGCUGGCCGCCAGCCUGCUCUGGGCGUGCGCCGUGGGCCUCUACAUGGGGCAGCUGGAGCUGGACGUGGAGCUGGUGCCCGAGGACGACGGGACGGCCUCCGCGGAAGGCCCUGAUGAGGCGGGUCGGCCGCCACCCGAGUGAGCGACACGGCCGUGGGGCCUGGCAGGCGCUGGACAGCGCCCGAG